rnacentral:rRNA from 1 species
UACGGAGGGAGCUAGCGUUGUUCGGAAUUACUGGGCGUAAAGAGUACGUAGGCGGUUAUUCAAGUCAGAGGUGAAAGCCUGGAGCUCAACUCCAGAACUGCCUUUGAAACUAGAUAACUUGAAUCACGGAGAGGUUAGUGGAAUUCCGAGUGUAGAGGUGAAAUUCGUAGAUAUUCGGAAGAACACCAGUGGCGAAGGCGACUAACUGGACUUGUAUUGACGCUGAGGUACGAAAGCGUGGGGAGCAAACAGG